GUUAAAAACCCACGGAUUUAGCGGGUACGGGUGGGUUUGGGUAUCGUGGGUGGAUCUUGUGCAGCCCUAGCUUCAAUGGAAUUAAGGUUUUAUGAAAUUGAGAAGAGAAUUGAGUUAAUGGUAGAAGAAGGAGACUAGGGUUGUGAUUCAAUUUUUAGUUAUUAGGUUAAGAUGUAUGAUAUUUUUUGUUCUUUUUUUUGUUCAAUCAAAAAUGCAGAGAGGUAGAGCCUUGUUUUCGCCCCUUGUAUAUCUAAUGUUAGGACUUAGGAACAUCUUGUUCUGUAGAUGUUGGUUUUGUUUCAUGGUAUAAUUCCAUUUAUCAAUUUAGGGUUUCAGUUUCUUUAUUUGCUUUGCGGUGUAUACUUAACACCACUGCCAUCAACAGCUUCUAAAGGUAAAUUAAUCUUACACGUUAAACGGAAAUUUGUGAUCUAUUAGGAUUAGGUUUUGUAAGGUCUUGGACUGUCCAGUUUAGGUUUAUUUAUUUAUUUCUCUUCCAUUGAUUUUUGAUUUAUUUCCUCUGUUUUGUGUUUGGCUUAACUUGGAUUUGUAUUUGUACUUGGUUUGUUUUAUUGUUUAGAUGCUUGUUUAAUUUAAGUUCUUCUGAGGUAAGGUUUAACCCAGGUUGUCUUGGGAUUGAACCUCUGUUCUUUCUCCCCAAAUCUUAUGUUGAUGUUGUUGUUAUCCCCUGUAUGAUGGAUGUUGAUAAAAAAAAAAAUUCCUAUCAUUGGCAUAUGUGCUACUAGUUUUGGUUAUUAUGAUGUUGGUAUUACUACACAAGAGAAUUUUCAUUGGCAUAUGUACAAGAACAUUUUCAUUUUAUGCACAUAAAGUGUUUGUCCUAGUGCCUCUAUAAAUUAAUCUAUAUGCUUGCAGCCUAUACCAAAUGAUUGUUGUGAACAAAUCUUAUUGAAGUUAUUGGUGACGUUCUCAUAUACGUCACUUGGGAUCAAGUGAGAUUGGAUUAGUUGUAAAUGAAAGUCACUAAUUAGAAGGGCUUGCACCUAUUUAGGAACAUUGAAAAUUAAGGGAAGUAUAAAAACGAGUCUUACCGCAGUCGUUUAUGUAUUUUGUUGAUUUUUUCUUAAAGGGGUUUCCUUCUUUUUUAGUUUACUGUUUUCUGGUUUUUCCCUUAGGAAAUUUACGUUUUGUAUUCCUUCUUGGUAAGAUAAAGUGAUGGUCACAAAUAUUUGUAGUUCUAUAUUUUACUUCGAACUUUAGAUUACUUUCAGUCCGUAUUUUUUGUGUCCUGUGUUCACUUAUAGUUUUCAGCUCUUCUUGAACUUCCAUAUUUUUUUAGCCUGUUUGUAUAUACUAACAUUGGUAUCUGUAAGUGUCAGAUCCAUGUUAUAUCGAGCUUUUGGACAUGUUAUUUUCAACAGUCCAAUUUUUGUUGUUGUGACUGAGGUCAUUUCUGCAUUGUUGGAUUGUUUGUCCUUGUUGAGCUUGGAUGAGCGAGAUAAAGAUCUGAUGUAUAGCUUCUUGCUCGUCUUAUCAGGGAUUAUAAUGGAUGAAAAAGAUGAGAUUUUUGUAUCAUCUGUGUGUAUAUCAUGUGUGUCUUGAUUCAUAAUUAGUUAUAGAGUUUCCUAAGUAUUUCAAUCAGCUUGUGUGCAUUUUGCAUAAUGAUAAGUGCAUUGUUUGUUCUAAUUUUUACUCACACAGGGAAAGAAGCCGUAUCAGAGAAUGCAUCCAUCAUUAUAAAUCGCCUUAUUGGACUAAUUACAUUCCUCCCUAUGAUGGUAUAACUUGUUGUGGAUCUAUAAUUCAAACACAUACCUAUAUUUCUAAAGUAGUCUUGCUUUUUGCAAUUUUCUUCUCUACAAAUAUCAUGCAUUUUUCCUAUUUUCUUUUUGGACAAAUAUAACUACUCUCUACUCUACACUCUUGGUCAUGUUCUAGCUUGUUAAGGAGACAACAAUUCAAUGUCUUUUUGCCAUGUCAGGGCUCCCCCACACAAGGAAUUAUCCCAUGAGACCACAGGUUGAUAUGAUUACAGCUCAAGACUUGUAAUAUAGUGAUUUUCUAUCACCCAAAAUGUAUAAUACAAUGAAAUUUCGUUCGGGUAAUGAAAGCAAUUACAAGUGCUUUUGAUGAUCCCAAGAGGGUAGUUCAUCAAGAAGCUGCUAGGUGUCGUCAUGCAUGGGCAUCUCUCGCAUCAGGAAGUACUUGUUAUUGAAGAACAUAUCUACAACAUUUGUACAUAGCAAAGUCCUCGCUGAUAGACAUAUCCACAGUAGAUAAAGAGGAUAACAAGAAGUGAAUUAUGGAGGAUCGAGUGACAUUUAAUUACUGGCUCAUGAACAUCAUAGGUCAGGAGUACUAGUGCUGAAACUGGUGAAGCUAAAGAGAAAACUAGGUGUUACUGUUCUUGAUCUUGGUUGUGCUCUUCAUGUAUUUCUACUCCAAAUCUUAGGUGUUUGAGCUUUGGAGUUGUGCAUCCAGCUGCUUAAGUAGAUAGAUACAUUUGUCAUGCCUGUAUAACCUAUAUUCUUGUACCAACUACGCAGCUGGAGAGGAUUUUUUUUUUGGUCCGAGAGUACUUGAAUAAGAUUAAAUUGUUUUUCGGUAGAUUUCAUAAUGAAUAGAAGUAUUCCUUUGUAUUUGUGUUUCCGUAAGGAAUGUAUGGAUGGUAGAAUCUGGAUAGUUUGCAAAUUGAGAUUGUGUAAUAACGAAUGAAUGUGGA